GAUCAUGGCUCAGGAUGAACGCUGGCGGCGUGCUUAACACAUGCAAGUCGAACGAUUGAAGCUGGAGCUUGCUCCGGCCGAUUUAGUGGCGGACGGGUGAGUAACGCGUGGGUAACCUGCCUCAUACAGGGGGAUAGCAGUUGGAAACGACUGGUAAAACCGCAUAAGCGCACGGUAUCGCAUGAUACAGUGUGAAAACACUCCGGUGGUAUGAGAUGGACCCGNGU
rnacentral:rRNA from 1 species